CUAUGCGCCUUGCCAGCCGCUCAGGUGUGCCAGCGCCGCGGUAAUACGUAGGGGCAAGCGUUAUCCGGAUUUACUGGGUGUAAAGGGGGCGCAGACGGCGAUGCAAGCCAGGAGUGAAAGCCCGGGGCCCAACCCCGGGACUGCUCUUGGAACUGCGUGGCUGGAGUGCAGGAGGGGCAGGCGGAAUUCCUGGUGUAGCGGUGAAAUGCGUAGAUAUCAGGAGGAACACCGGUGGCGAAGGCGGCCUGCUGGACUGCAACUGACGUUGAGGCCCGAAAGCGUGGGGAGCAAACAGG
rnacentral:rRNA from 1 species